rnacentral:misc_RNA from 1 species
AUUACAUUAUUAUGCAAACACUUCGUACGACGAGAAGAAGUAUGGGAAAGAGAGUUUUAAAUGUCAAAUCACUGUGUUAUAUAGCUAACGUUCUGUCACACCACUGAUUGUCUAUUGCACUCACAGUUUAUAAACACUUCACACCGAUGACCGGUAAAUUAAGUGCGGACCACACGAUGUGAACCAAGAGUUGCAACGCAAGAUGUGAGACGUUCCUUAACAUACUCCCCCCGUUGAAGAAUCCAGAUUCUUCAACUCUGUGUCUUCAUCGUUGAGUAAGGGGGGGUGGCGAACCAGAGGGCGGCGAUAACAGCCUGUAGUGGGCCGAUCGCGAGAGCUCCCGUCUGGCCCCGGAUAUAGUCUGGCUACUGGCAUCCAGUAAUCCAAUAUAAAGGUGGCAGGUCUCCAACCUUUAGCCUUGUCUUGCUUGUCUUCAUUUUGUUGUUUGAUUUACUUGAGACGUGCGUAGCGUUUUAAUUGUGGUUCCCUUUCAUUCUCCAAGGCGCGAGUCGGCAGCUCAUUUAGUAGUCUUCUGAUUAAGAAGUGCCCUGGGGAAAGGAAAGGAAAUCGUCAAGGGAACAUGGAUAAUGGGCGCAAGGGACGACUAUUCAGAAUAGCCUCCACUUGUGCAAACAAAGUUAGAAUUGCCUUAAAAGUUAAAAUUUCUUCAAAAAUUAAAUGAGAACUCCCAUGACUCGUUUAUAUAUGUUUGUUUGCGUGAUGUAUUGUUGAUAUGAUGUUUUACCGGUCACACCGGCCUCCCAUAUGUCGCCGAAGUGAGGAGCGUAAGACAGAAUGAGUUUAAAUUUUGAUGCCUUGCUGAGCUGUAAAUUCAGUUAACGCGAUGUUUUGUAUAUCGCAUGAUGACAAAAAUAAGAAGGAUCUGGUAAACUAACUGUAGAUUCCGACAGAUGGCCUAAAUUUUGAUAUUCUCUUAUGAAGUGUAUAUAUUGAGAUUUUAAUGAAGUAUAUUUUUUGAAACGUUUUUCUAAAUUGAAUAAUCGCCUUUUUGCUAAGUUAUAUGUUUCACCUAGACAAUCAGGUGAAUUGCGUAAUGGAAGUCUGACACUAGACCUGCCAGAAGGAAGCCGUGAAGUGUGAGACCGAAAGUGGUUCUCACAGGCUAAUUCCUUUUCGCUUUGAAUUGUUUUCUGGUGAAGCUCUUCUAGCUUCCUAAAUUUUGUUAUUAAAUUGUUAAUUUUGUUUUUCUUUGGGAGGUUAUCAUUGAUAACUGAAUUAUUGCAAAAUACUUGUUUAGCUUGAUAUGAAAUAGGACCACCAAUCAACCAACCGAAACUGGAAUAUUGUAAUGUAGGCUUGUUUGCACC